GGUAAUAAAGCUCAGUGGUAGAGCAUGUGUUUAGCAUGCACGAGGCCCUGGGUUCAAUCCCCAGUACCA
rnacentral:tRNA from 1 species